GCAUGCACCUGUAGUCCCAGCUACUAAGGAGGCCGAAGCAGAAGGAUCACCUGAGGCCAGAAGUUCUGGGCUGUAGUGUGCUAUGCUGAUUGACUUUCCAUAUUAAGUUCAGCAUUAAUAUGGUGACCUCCUGGGAGUGGACGGACCACUUACUAGGUUGCCUAAGGAGGGGUGAACCUGCCCAGGUCAGAAACGGAGCAGGUCAAAAGGCUUGUGCUGAUCAGUAGUGGGACUGCACCUAUGACUAGCCAAGGCACUCCAGCCUGGGCAACAUAGUGAGACUUCGUCUUUA
ensembl:misc_RNA Metazoa_SRP Metazoan signal recognition particle RNA